CCUCUGUCUGCUGAGACCUGGAGGAUACAGCUGUGCCUGUCCUCAAGGCUCCAGCUUUAUAAAGGGGAGCAUUACGGAGUGUGAUGCAGCCAUCGAGCUCCCCAUCACCAUGCCGCCCCCAUGCAGGUGCAUGUACGGAGGCAGUUGCUAUUUUGAUGAGAAUGAAUACCCCAAGUGCAAGUGUGUGAGUGGUUACACCGGAGCGUACUGUGAAAUUGGGCUUUCCCAAGGCAUCCCUCCAGGAACAACAGCAAUGGCAGUACUGUUGACAGUCCUCCUGAUCAUCAUCCUUGGAGCACUGGGAGCCGUAGGAUUUUUCCAUUAUAGGAAAACUGGCACCCUUUUGCCUGCUCUGCCCAAGCUGCCAAGCUUAAGCAGUCUUGUGAAACCCUCUGAGAAUGGAAAUGGGGUGACCUUCAGAUCAGGGGUAGAUGUUAACAUGGACAUUGGAGUGUCUGACUUUGGUCCUGAGUCUGCUAUUGACAGAUCAAUGGCCAUGAGUGAGCACUUUGCCAUGGAGAUGGGGAAGGAACCUGUGAUAUUUGAAAACCCAAUGUACUCAGCCAGAGGCACUGUGGUCAAAGUGGUCCUGCCGGCUAAGGUGACUGUAUCUGAAAAUGUGGAAAACAAGAAUUAUGGAAGUCCUGUAAACCCUUCUGAGAUAGUUCCAGAGCUAAAGCCAACUUCCCCAGAUGUUGACGGAACUCAGGUAAUAGAGACUGAGUCCUAAAAUGAUGUGCACCUUGAGUUGUGGGUUGCUAUUAAUUAG
rnacentral:lncRNA from 1 species